GGGCCCAUAGCUCACUCGGUAGAGCGCCCGAUCUGCAUUCGGGAGGUACGGGGUUCGAAACCCUGUGGGUCCA